rnacentral:misc_RNA from 1 species
UACGGAGGGUGCGAGCGUUAAUCGGAAUUACUGGGCGUAAAGCGCGCGUAGGCGGCUAAGUAAGCCGGUUGUGAAAGCCACGGGCUCAACCUGGGAAUGGCAUCCGGAACUGGUUAGCUAGAGUGCAGGAGAGGAAGGUAGAAUUCCGGGUGUAGCGGUGAAAUGCGUAGAGAUCGGGGGGAAUACCAGUGGCGAAGGCGGCCUUCUGGAUUGACACUGACGCUGAGGUGCGAAAGCGUGGGUAGCAAACAGG